AUUGAACGCUGGCGGCAGGCCUAACACAUGCAAGUCGAACGGGUGGCGGACGGGUGAGUAAUGUCUGGGCAACUGCCUGAUGGAGGGGGAUCACUACUGGAAACGGUAGCUAAUACCGCAUACCAUCGGAUGUGCCCAGAUGGGCUUAGCUAGUUGGGGGGGUAACGGCUCACCUAGGCGACGAUCCCUAGCUGGUCUGAGAGGAUGACCAGCCAGACUGGAACUGAGGCACGGUCCAGACGCCUACGGGAGGCAGCAGUGGGGAAGAUUGCACAAUGGGCGCAAGCCUGAUGCAGCCAUGCCGCGUGUAUGAAGAAGGCUUUCGGGUUGUAAAGGACUUUCAGCGGGGAGGCGUUACCCGCAGAAGAAGCACCGGCUAACUCCGUGCCAGCAGCCGCGGUAAUAC
rnacentral:rRNA from 1 species